GAAUAUUCUGGAAUAAUGAUGCACAAAAUAAACUCCAAGACAAGGAUACUGAGGCUAAUCUGCUCAUGAAAAUGUCCCGGUAUAUCUGAAUUCCAAAAUAUAAU